CGGAUCGCAGGCUGCAACCCGCCUGCGUGAAGUCGGAAUCGCUAGUAAUCGCGGAUCAGCAUGCCGCGGUGAAUACGUUCCCGGGCCUUGUACACACCGCCCGUCACACCAUGAGAGUCGGGAACACCCGAAGCCCGUAGCCUAACUUUAACGAGAGGGCGCGGUCGAAGGUGGGUUCGAUAAUUGGGGUGAAGUCGUAACAAGGUAUC
rnacentral:rRNA from 1 species